UUUACUGAGAAACGUCACAGCUGCAAACCCCCACCCCCAAACGAACAUAUGACGUUUCUCGUGGAAAAAAUCGAUAUGUGAGGCUUCCCUAGGUCAAAAUUUCCGAAAAUUCGUCAUUUUCCACGAAGGUGGGGGGCGGCCGCCCCACCGAGAAUUCCGCCACUGAGCCCAGGAAUCAUCUUUAAACUGCCAUUUAUGGUAUUUUUUAAAUUUUAUGUUUAGGGACGAGUUGUACUUUAUAGUAUUUAUAUUUAUACGUAUAUUUUCGAAGAAUAGCUGAAUAUAUGUGGAGCAUUUGAAUCAAAACAUGUAGUACUGGCCAGUGUUUUUUUCUAUGUUUAUAUUUGGUUUUUUCGCAUUUUAGUCGGAUAAAAGUACAUUUCGGGCUUGGUACUAAGUCCAUUGAAGUCAAUUUACUGUAUUUUGCAAUCUUUAGUGACUUUAGUAUCGAUAGCAUAGAUUUUUCGAUUUUCGAGUUUGAAAAUUGUCUUCGCUCCUCGCGGUUUGUCGCUAAAAAAUAACUCUUGCCUUUUGGACCACGGUCCAGAUGUCGUAAAAAGCUGCCGGCUCCUGCAGCCAAUCAGAUUACAGGAAAUAAGAAAAUAGGCACUAGGCAUGUACAAAUAAAAAAAUAAAAGGG